AUGCAGUCGAACGAUGAAGCCCUUCGGGGUGGAUUAGUGGCGAACGGGUGAGUAACACGUGGGCAAUCUGCCCUUCACUCUGGGACAAGCCCUGGAAACGGGGUCUAAUACCGGAUAACACUCUGUCCCGCAUGGGACGGGGUUAAAAGCUCCGGCGGUGAAGGAUGAGCCCGCGGCCUAUCAGCUUGUUGGUGGGGUAAUGGCCUACCAAGGCGACGACGGGUAGCCGGCCUGAGAGGGCGACCGGCCACACUGGGACUGAGACACGGCCCAGACUCCUACGGGAGGCAGCAGUGGGGAAUAUUGCACAAUGGGCGAAAGCCUGAUGCAGCGACGCCGCGUGAGGGAUGACGGCCUUCGGGUUGUAAACCUCUUUCAGCAGGGAAGAAGCGAAAGUGACGGUACCUGCAGAAGAAGCGCCGGCUAACUACGUGCCAGCAGCCGCGGUAAUACGUAGGGCGCAAGCGUUGUCCGGAAUUAUUGGGCGUAAAGAGCUCGUAGGCGGYUUGUCACGUCGGAUGUGAAAGCCCGGGGCUUAACCCCGGGUCUGCAUUCGAUACGGGCUAGCUAGAGUGUGGUAGGGGAGAUCGGAAUUCCUGGUGUAGCGGUGAAAUGCGCAGAUAUCAGGAGGAACACCGGUGGCGAAGGCGGAUCUCUGGGCCAUUACUGACKCUGAGGAGCGAAAGCGUGGGGAGCGAACAGGAUUAGAUACCCUGGUAGUCCACGCCGUAAACGUUGGGAACUAGGUGUUGGCGACAUUCCACGUCGUCGGUGCCGCAGCUAACGCAUUAAGUUCCCCGCCUGGGG
rnacentral:rRNA from 1 species